rnacentral:rRNA from 1 species
UACGAAGGGGGCUAGCGUUGCUCGGAAUCACUGGGCGUAAAGGGUGCGUAGGCGGUUCUUUAAGUCAGGGGUGAAAUCCUGGAGCUCAACUCCAGAACUGCCUUUGAUACUGAGGAUCUUGAGUCCGGGAGAGGUGAGUGGAACUGCGAGUGUAGAGGUGAAAUUCGUAGAUAUUCGCAAGAACACCAGUGGCGAAGGCGGCUCACUGGCCCGGUACUGACGCUGAGGUGCGAAAGCGUGGGGAGCAAACAGG